rnacentral:rRNA from 1 species
UGAGGAAUUUUGCUCAAUGGGCGCAAGCCUGAAGCAGCGACGCCGCGUGAAUGAUGAAGCCCUUCGGGGUGUAAAGUUCUGUCGACAGGGAAAAUAAUGAUGGUACCUGUAGAGGAAGCACCGGCAAACUAUGUGCCAGCAGCCGCGGUAAUACAUAGGGUGCAAGCGUUGUCCGGAUUUACUGGGCGUAAAGCGCGCGUAGGCGGCAAUUCAAGUCAAACUUUAAAGGCUCCUGGCUCAACCGGAGUUUGGGUUUGAUACUGUUUUGCUAGAGAUUGGGAGAGGAAAGUGGAACAAACAGUGUAGCGGUGAAAUGCGUAGAUAUUGUUUGGAACACCCAUGGCGAAGGCAACUUUCUGGACCAAAUCUGACGCUGAGGCGCGAAAGCGUGGGUAGCAAACAGG